GCAUCCGCCCCCGGGCCCGCGCCCGCCGAAGACACACAAACGGACUCUUGUCUGAAGAUUGCAGUCUGAGUACAUGACUAAAUCAGUUAAAACUUUCUAACAACGGAUCUCUGGGUUCCGGCAUCGAUGAAGAACGCAGCGAAAUGCGAUAAGUAAUGUGAAUUGCAGAAUUCUAGUGAAUCAUCGAGUCUUUGAACGCACAUUGCGCCCCCUGGUAUUCCGGGGGGCAUGCCUGUCCGAGCGUCAUUGCUGCCCUCAAGCACGGCUUGUGCUGUUGGGCUCUCGCCCCCCGCUUCCGGGGGGCGGGCCCGCAAAGGCAGCGGCGGCACCGCGUCCGGUCCUCGAGCGUAUGGGGCUGUCGUCACCCGCUCUGUAGGCCCGGCCGGCGCCCGCCGGCGAACACCAUCAAUCUUAACCAGGUGACGUCGGAUCAGGUAGGGA
rnacentral:rRNA from 1 species